CUUUCUAAACCUAAGCCCUCUUGCCUCUUUGUCUCUGAGUCGCACAAGCCGCCACCUACAAGCCACAAAGCACCGAGUCUGUGAAGCCUUGAAGAAAACGACGCCGGCCAUCCAAAAACCGUCAAAUCACCUGCUCAAAAAUCCGGCCAAACGCCACCACCGGCGACACGUCACACGUAGGAGGCCGGAAAGCUGAAUUGCGGUGCCGCCGCUCGUUCCGCCCAAAUGCCCCGCCCCAGCUCUCUCGUUCCGCCACAACCACAGCACACCGCCAGGUCCGCUGCCGUCGAGGACGCCUGAUGAGUGAUGAGUUUUCUCUUCAAAAUCUGAUGUGUUUCUAUUUCUGAAUUCUGAUGAAAUAAGCGAUUUCAAUAACCACAUUAUAGAAGAUCAGGAAGAUCAAGAUGA